GCAGAGAAACAGAGAGAGGAGUAGCAGAAGUUAAGCUACGGAGAAGUAAAAUAGUAGAAAAGUAGAAAUAGACCAGCUAAAUUAGCUGACGAAUUGACUGUGAAAGAUGAUGGAAAUCUACCGGUUCGGUUUACAUUUUGACGGUGUGUUGCUCCGGUGGUAAACGAGUCGGGUGGUGUUUACAUCUAUCGAUGCUCCGACUGUUUUGUUUGACUGGAUUAGAUACUUGGAUUAAGUUUCUACUGAACGCGAUGGCGAGCCAGGCCCAGCGAGAACUUCUGGAGAGGAACGUUUGAGGCAGUGUGGCCAGCUGUUUCAACCGUCGUUGGAAGAAUCAACUCUGUUGUUUCCAAGGAUUUCCAGAUAAGAAACAAUCAGAAUUACACACAUUUAUCCUACCCGGGUAGAGGUAAA